rnacentral:rRNA from 1 species
GAUGAACGCUAGCGGCAGGCCUAACACAUGCAAGUCGAACGGUGUCUUCGGACAUAGUGGCGCACGGGUGCGUAACACGUAUGCAACCUACCUUACAUUGGGGCAUAGCCUUUCGAAAGGGAGAUUAAUACCGCAAAAGAAAGGAGCCGGGCACCCAGCAGAUGUUAAAGAUUUAUCGAUGUACGCUGGGGAUGCGUACAAUCUGGCAGUUGGUGAGGUAACGGCUCACCAAGGCAAUGAUUGGUAGGGGAAGUGAGAGGUCAAUCCCCCACACUGGCACUGAGAUACGGGCCAGACUCCUACGGGAGGCAGCAGUAGGGAAUAUUGGGCAAUGGACGCAAGUCUGACCCAGCCAUGCCGCGUGCAGGAUGAAGGCGUUAUGCGUUGUAAACUGCUUUUAUACAGGAAGAAACGACUCUUGCGAGAGGCAUUGACGGUACUGUAUGAAUAAGCACCGGCUAACUCCGUGCCAGCCGCCGCAGUAACAC